UACGGAGGGGGCUAGCGUUGUUCGGAAUUACUGGGGCUUAAAGGGUGCGUAGGCGGUGCAGCAAGUCGGGAGUGAAAUACCUCAGCUUAACUGAGGAACUGCUUUCGAUACUGCUGUGCUUGAGUAAGACAGAGGUAAGCGGAACUUAGGGUGGAGCGGUGAAAUGCGUAGAUAAUCCGGAGGAACACCGGGUGGCGAAGGCGGCUUCCUGGACCGACACUGACGCUGGAGGCGCGAAAGCUAGGGGAGCGAACGGG
rnacentral:rRNA from 1 species